UACGUAGGGUGCGAGCGUUAAUCGGAAUUACUGGGCGUAAAGCGUGCGCAGGCGGCUUCGCAAGUCAGACGUGAAAUCCCCGGGCUUAACCUGGGAAUGGCGUUUGAAACUACGGAGCUGGAGUAUGGCAGAGGGGGGUGGAAUUCCACGUGUAGCGGUGAAAUGCGUAGAUAUGUGGAGGAACACCGAUGGCGAAGGCAAUCCCCUGGGCCUGCACUGACGCUCAUGCACGAAAGCGUGGGGAGCAAACAGG
rnacentral:rRNA from 1 species